rnacentral:rRNA from 1 species
UCGGGAAUUUUGGGCAAUGGGCGAAAGCCUGACCCAGCAACGCCGCGUGAAGGAUGAAGUAUUUCGGUAUGUAAACUUCGAAAGAAUAGGAAGAAUAAAUGACGGUACUAUUUAUAAGGUCCGGCUAACUACGUGCCAGCAGCCGCGGUAAUACGAAGGGAGCUAGCGUUGUUCGGAAUCACUGGGCGUAAAGCGCACGUAGGUGGGCAGUUAAGUCAGGGGUGAAAGCCCGAGGCUCAACCUCGGAAUUGCCUCUGAUACUGGCUGUCUAGAGUUCGAGAGAGGUGAGUGGAAUUCCUAGUGUAGAGGUGAAAUUCGUAGAUAUUAGGAAGAACACCGGUGGCGAAGGCGGCUCACUGGCUCGAUACUGACACUGAGGCGCGAAAGCUAGGGUAGCAAACGGGAUUAGAUACCCUCGUAGUCCCUGAGCGGGCUGGCAAGGCG